rnacentral:rRNA from 1 species
UACAGAGGGGGCAAGCGUUGUUCGGAAUUACUGGGCGUAAAGGGCGCGUAGGCGGCCUGCUAAGUCGAACGUGAAAUCCCCGGGCUCAACCCGGGAACUGCGUCCGAUACUGGCAGGCUUGAAUCCGGGAGAGGGAUGCGGAAUUCCAGGUGUAGCGGUGAAAUGCGUAGAUAUCUGGAGGAACACCGGUGGCGAAGGCGGCAUCCUGGACCGGCAUUGACGCUGAGGCGCGAAAGCCAGGGGAGCAAACGGG